GAUGAACGCUGGCGGCGUGCCUAAUACAUGCAAGUCGAGCGAACAGACGAGGAGCUUGCUCCUCUGACGUUAGCGGCGGACGGGUGAGUAACACGUGGAUAACCUACCUAUAAGACUGGGAUAACUUCGGGAAACCGGAGCUAAUACCGGAUAAUAUAUUGAACCGCAUGGUUCAAUAGUGAAAGACGGUUUUGCUGUCACUUAUAGAUGGAUCCGCGCCGCAUUAGCUAGUUGGUAAGGUAACGGCUUACCAAGGCAACGAUGCGUAGCCGACCUGAGAGGGUGAUCGGCCACACUGGAACUGAGACACGGUCCAGACUCCUACGGGAGGCAGCAGUAGGGAAUCGUCCGCAAUGGGCGAAAGCUUGACGGAGCAACGCCGCGUGAGUGAUGAAGGUCUUCGGAUCGUAAAACUCUGUUAUUAGGGAAGAACAAAUGUGUAAGUAACUAUGCACGUCUUGACGGUACCUAAUCAGAGAGCCACGGCUAACUAC
rnacentral:rRNA from 1 species